GAUUAAGUUAUUAAGGGCGCACGGUGGAUGCCUUGGCACUAGAAGCCGAUGAAGGACGUUACUAACGACGAUAUGCUUUGGGGAGCUGUAAGUAAGCUUUGAUCCAGAGAUUUCCGAAUGGGGAAACCCAGCAUGAGUUAUGUCAUGUUAUCGAUAUGUGAAUACAUAGCAUAUCAGAAGGCACACCCGGAGAACUGAAACAUCUUAGUACCCGGAGGAAGAAAAAGAAAAUUCGAUUCCCUUAGUAGCGGCGAGCGA
rnacentral:rRNA from 1 species